CACACUCAGAGGAAGGCUGAGAGGAGGCUGUGUGGGAGCCAGAGCAGAGGGGUUUUUUGUAACUUGCUUUGCAGACCAGCACAAUUUUCCAGGGGAGAUGCAAGCCUGGGAUAGUGGCUGUUGAGCUCACAGACUUGCUUUGUUUAAUUAUCAUUUGCAGACUGUUUAAUAGGGGCCUGAAGGCCCCAAAACCCACCAAGAGCGAGAGGAUGACAACCACCAAAUACCUCUGUAGGAAGAAGACAGGCAGAGAGUUUAUUCAGCUUGCCCAGCACUUCAGCCACAGGAGCCAACUCCAAGGCCAUGGAGACCAGGAAUAGACACAGUAACAGCAAAGAGUCUCUGGUGUGCCACUACUGUGAUAUGUCCAAGCUGAGAGCCGCUGGCAAGCUGAUGAGUCUCCUGAUUAGGAGCUGGUAGUGAUCAGACCAUUUACUUGACCUUAAGACACCUUAAGACCUGGAGUAUUGUUAUGCUGCCACCUCUGAAAGGUACCAAAAGUACCUGAAAACAUUUGCUCAUCUAUAACCUGACAAUUAAAUAGCUGUAACAAAGUCUGGAGGUCCCUCCUGAUUUUCCAAAUGCUUGUGUGUUUUAUCAAUCCAAUGGGAAGAACAAGGAAGCAGAGAAGGGGCUUGAAUGUCUUAACUAAACUGGUGGAAGGCAUCCCCUCAGCUCUGCUAAGCU
rnacentral:lncRNA from 1 species